GUAGCACAGGGGAGCUUGCUCCCUGGGUGACGAGCGGCGGACGGGUGAGUAAUGUCUGGGAAACUGCCUGAUGGAGGGGGAUAACUACUGGAAACGGUAGCUAAUACCGCAUAACGUCGCAAGACCAAAGAGGGGGACCUUCGGGCCUCUUGCCAUCAGAUGUGCCCAGAUGGGAUUAGCUAGUAGGUGGGGUAAUGGCUCACCUAGGCGACGAUCCCUAGCUGGUCUGAGAGGAUGACCAGCCACACUGGAACUGAGACACGGUCCAGACUCCUACGGGAGGCAGCAGUGGGGAAUAUUGCACAAUGGGCGCAAGCCUGAUGCAGCCAUGCCGCGUGUGUGAAGAAGGCCUUCGGGUUGUAAAGCACUUUCAGCGAGGAGGAAGGUGGUGAACUUAAUACGUUCAUCAAUUGACGUUACUCGCAGAAGAAGCACCGGCUAACUCCGUGCCGGCAGCCGCGGUAAUACGGAGGGUGCAAGCGUUAAUCGGAAUUACUGGGCGUAAAGCGCACGCAGGCGGUUUGUUAAGUCAGAUGUGAAAUCCCCGGGCUCAACCUGGGAACUGCAUUUGAAACUGGCAAGCUAGAGUCUCGUAGAGGGGGGUAGAAUUCCAGGUGUAGCGGUGAAAUGCGUAGAGAUCUGGAGGAAUACCGGUGGCGA
rnacentral:rRNA from 1 species